rnacentral:rRNA from 1 species
AAUGAACGUUGGCGGCGUGGAUUAGGCAUGCAAGUCGUGCGCGAUGUGUGGCAAUACAUUGAAAGCGGCGAAAGGGAGAGUAACGCGUGGAUACCUACCCUGAGGCCCGGGAUAGCUGCGGGAAACUGCAGGUAAUACCGGAUGAUGUCUCUGGACCAAAGGUGUGAUUCCUCCUUAGGAUGGGUCCGCGUCCUAUUAGCUAUUUGGUGAGGUAAUGGCUCACCAAGGCGACGAUGGGUACUGGGUGUGGGAGCACGACCCAGCUCACUGGGACUGAGACACUGCCCAGACACCUACGGGUGGCUGCAGUCGAGAAUCUUCCGCAAUGGGCGAAAGCCUGACGGAGCGACGCCGCGUGUGGGACGAAGGCCUUCGGGUUGUAAACCACUGUCAGUUGGGAGGAAAUAUCUAGGGGUUCUCCCCUAGGUUUGACCGAUCUUCAGUGGAAGUCCGGGCUAAGCUCGUGCCAGCCGCCGCCGUAAUAC